UACAGAGGUCCCAAGCGUUGUUCGGAUUCACUGGGCGUAAAGGGUGCGUAGGCGGCGCGGUAAGUCGGGUGUGAAAUCUUGGGGCUUAACUCCGAAACUGCAUUCGAUACUGCCGUGCUUGAGGACUGGAGAGGAGACUGGAAUUUACGGUGUAGCGGUGAAAUGCGUAGAUAUCGUAAGGAAGACCAGUGGCGAAGGCGGGUCUCUGGACAGUUCCUGACGCUGAGGCACGAAGGCCAGGGGAGCAAACGGG
rnacentral:rRNA from 1 species